UACGAAGGGGGCUAGCGUUGUUCGGAAUUACUGGGCGUAAAGCGCGCGCAGGCGGCUUCUCAAGUCAGGGGUGAAAGCCCGGAGCUCAACUCCGGAACUGCCUUUGAAACUGUGAAGCUUGAGUACGGGAGAGGUGAGUGGAAUUCCCAGUGUAGAGGUGAAAUUCGUAGAUAUUGGGAAGAACACCGGUGGCGAAGGCGGCUCACUGGCCCGUUACUGACGCUGAGGCGCGAAAGCGUGGGGAGCAAACAGG
rnacentral:rRNA from 1 species